CCUGAGAGAUUGGGGAGUGCUCGAAAGAGAACCUGCACACAGGUGCUGCAUGGCUGUCGUCAGCUCGUGUCGUGAGAUGUUGGGUUAAGUCCCGCAACGAGCGCAACCCUUGUCAUUAGUUGCUACGAAAGGGCACUCUAAUGAGACUGCCGGUGACAAACCGGAGGAAGGUGGGGAUGACGUCAAGUCCUCAUGGCCCUUAUGGGUAGGGCUUCACACGUCAUACAAUGGUACAUACAGAGGGCCGCCAACCCGCGAGGGGGAGCUAAUCCCAGAAAGUGUAUCGUAGUCCGGAUUGUAGUCUGCAACUCGACUGCAUGAAGUUGGAAUCGCUAGUAAUCGCGGAUCAGCAUGUCGCGGUGAAUACGUUCCCGGGUCUUGUACACACCGCCCGUCACACCAUGGGAGCGGGUUUUACCAGAAGUAGGUAGCUUAACCGCAAGGAGGGCGCUUACCACGGUAGGAUUCGUGACUGGGGUGAAGUCGUAACAAGGUAGCCGUAUCGGAAGGUGCGGCUGGAUCACCUCCUUUCUAG
rnacentral:rRNA from 1 species